GACGAACGCUGGCGGCGUGCUUAACACAUGCAAGUCGAACGGAAAGGCCCUGCUUUUGUGGGGUGCUCGAGUGGCGAACGGGUGAGUAACACGUGAGUAACCUGCCCUUGACUUUGGGAUAACUUCAGGAAACUGGGGCUAAUACCGGAUAGGAGCUCCUGCUGCAUGGUGGGGGUUGGAAAGUUUCGGCGGAUGGGGAUGGACGCGCGGCUUAUCAGCUUGUUGGUGGGGUAGUGGCUUACCAAGGCUUUGACGGGUAGCCGGCCUGAGAGGGUGACCGGCCACAUUGGGACUGAGAUACGGCCCAGACUCCUACGGGAGGCAGCAGUGGGGAAUAUUGCACAAUGGGCGGAAGCCGGAUGCAGCAACGCCGCGUGCGGGAUGACGGCCUUCGGGUUGUAAACCGCUUUCGCCUGUGACGAAGCGUGAGUGACGGUAAUGGGUAAAGAAGCACCGGCUAACUACGUG
rnacentral:rRNA from 1 species